GUGCACUCACUUCAGCAGCACAUAUACUAAAACUGGAACAAUACAGAGAAGCUUAGCAUGGCCCCUCCAUGAGGAUGACAUGCAAAUUCAUGAAGCGUUCCAUAUUUUA
rnacentral:snRNA from 2 species